AGGAAGUACUGCCUUUGACAUAAUUCUUUUUAUCCCAGAAUCUAGUCAAAGAAGAGGCAACUGGGUGGCAGUCACUGGCUGAGGUGGCAGUUGCUUAGCAUCAUGCACAGGUUCAAGCAUGUAAGUCUCAUGCCCUUUGGGUUCUUUCCAAUGAAGACUGAUCCCUGGCUAUUGGUACCCACACACUUGGAGACACUAACAGGGAAGUAGAUUGAGACUUCACCAAAGUUGUGCUAGUCACUGAAGAAAUACAGAGCUAAAAGUUGGACCAACCAUGUCAUCAUUUCACUAUUCAGGAGGCCAUCAGCAGUAAGAUUCUAUGUGGUUGCUUCACUUCAGUGAUUUAAAGGAAACUGCCAGAAGAAUAAAAAAUCAUUUGCAUUCA
rnacentral:lncRNA from 1 species